rnacentral:rRNA from 1 species
UACGGGGGGAGCAAGCGUUGUUCGGAAUUACUGGGCGUAAAGCGAACGUAGGCGGUGUUCCAUGUCAGAGGUGAAAGCCUGGGGCUCAACUCCAGAAUUGCCUUUGAAACGGGGACGCUUGAGUCCGAGAGAGGGUGGCGGAAUUCCUAGUGUAGAGGUGAAAUUCGUAGAUAUUAGGAAGAACACCAGUGGCGAAGGCGGCCACCUGGCUCGGUACUGACGCUCAGGUUCGAAAGCGUGGGGAGCAAACAGG